rnacentral:rRNA from 1 species
ACGGAGGGUGCGAGCGUUAAUCGGAAUCACUGGGCGUAAAGCGCACGUAGGCGGUGUCGUAAGUCGGAUGUGAAAGCCCUCGGCUCAACCGGGGAACUGCAUUCGAUACUGCGAUGCUUGAGUGCCGGAGGGGGUGCCAGAAUUCCAGGUGUAGGGGUGAAAUCCGUAGAGAUCUGGAGGAACACCAUCGGCGAAGGCGGCCUCCUGGCCGGUAACUGACGCUGAGGUGCGAAAGUGUGGGGAUCAAACAG